CCGGACGUCGAAGAGCCGGCCGCGGAUAGCCAGCGGUGCUGCCACCGCCGCCUUUAGGGGAUCGGCCCGCGGCGGUCCUUCGACGUCCGG
rnacentral:sRNA from 17 species